rnacentral:snRNA from 1 species
GGAUAUGAGGGUGAGCUGGCUGUGAUAUAUAUGCCCUGAUCAUUGGCUACCUGAGUGUCUCUUUCUUCCUCUACACUUUCAAUGUACUGAAACUGAGCACUCAGUUGAAGAGAAUGACCUCCCUGGAUGGAGAAGAACCCAGACUUCAAUCAAGGCUAUAGAAGUAGCUGUACCCCCUAGUAGGACAACCAGAAACGCUUUCAAGGUUAAAAUGCACCAUUGGCGUAAACAACCCUCAUUCCUACACUGACCUCU